GACCCAGUGGAGAAGUGGUCUCGCAUCUGCUCAGCUUGUAAUAGUCUGCAUUUGGUCUGCAUAAUUUCUGCAGAAGAUACCCGUUCGAUUCGGGUCUGGGUCA